rnacentral:lncRNA from 10 species
GGACCACAGGCGGCUGCCACCACACCCGGCUAAUUUUUUGUAUUUUUUAAUAGAGGCAGGGUUUCACCGUGUUAGCCAGGAUGGUCUCCAUCUCCUGACCUCGUGAUCCACCUGCCUCGGCCUCCCAAAGUGCUGGGAUUAUAGACGUGAGCCACCGUGCCCGGCCUUGCCACCUUUCUUUUAAAUUAAGCAUCUACUAUAUAUGAGUUAGUGCUGGUCACCAGAAAUAUAAAGCCAAAAUAAACCUCCAGCAAAUCGUGGUGAUCCCCUUUAGAAGCAAUGAAAAAUCAUGGCUAGACUGCCUCAUCUGUGGUACAUGACGGCUGCCUAAUCUGCUUAGGCAGCUCAGCACGCACAGAUCCUAGAUCAGAGGCUUGAAUUCACCAAUCUGUGUACACACAGCUGGAUGCAAUACCCUUGGUUUUCCUGGUACCAUCUGCUCACUAAAUCAUCCCCUGAAGGCCAAAAACAGAACAAAAGCAGCAUUGGGGAAAGGGGAAAAGAGAGAAAAAGUCAUAAGAUCAGCAAGAAGAGAAACUGUAGAUUUGCCUCAACUCAACAUGUUAAGUAAUCGCCUGACAUCUACAUAAGACCACCUCUUGGCACCUGGCUACACAAGCUGAAAUGGUAAAACUCCUUGAGAAACCACACAAGGAUGGAAUACUUGCUUAGAGACAUGAGAGUAGCCUAGAAUCUAAGAAUCUGUACUUCCUUCUACAGUUGUCUUUGGAAAAAGAAUAGACAUUCAUGGCAGACCAAAGAUCACUCUCUGAAGGUGUUAUGUGAGAAAUCCACACAGGAGAAACCCAAGAAAACCACGCAGGUAAAUGCUAGCCUGGAAAGACAGAGGGAAAACAUGCCAAGUGGAGCCCACCACAAGGACAGCAGUCAGAGCCCAAGAGCCCAGCUUUAAAAGGGCUGCAUACCAAAAGGAACAAAAGCACAAAACAAACAAACAAACAAACAAACAAGCAAAUGAUGGUGGAAACUAUUUUCAAAACUUCCCUGUUCUGGUAAAGACGUUUUCAGAGCUCAAACUAGUCCUGCUGAAAAUAUUUUUUAAAAUAUGAAAGCAUAGCGGAAAAUUUGUAUGAAAAAGAAAAAAGAAAAAGAAGGAGGAGGAAGAAGAAGAAGAAAGAAGAAAAAGGAGAGGAAGAAGAAGAAGGAGGAGGAGGAGAAGAAGAGGAGGAGGAGGAGGAGGAAAUGGCAGAGACAAUGUAUGUCCCAGAAAGCCUAAAAUGUGUACUGUUUGUCCGUUUAUAGAAAAAGUGUGCCAGUCCCUACUCUGUUCCCAAUUUUAAAAACAAAUAAAUAAAAAGAAAAACAAGCAAGUCUCUCAGCCAAGAAAGAAUCGAUGGGAACUUUUUCAACUUUAUAAAGUGGAUCUACAAAAAACUACAACUAACACUAACGUCACACCUAAUGGUGAAAGUCUGAAUGUUUUCCCUCUAAGACUAGGAAAAGGUGGCAUGGAUGUCCACUCUCCCUACUCUAUUCAGCAUUGUAUCAAAAGUUCUUAUCAGUGAAAUAAGACAAGAAAACAAUAAAUGGCAUCCAUAUUGGAAAAGAAGUAACACUGUCUUUAUUUGCAGAUGACAUUAUAAUCUAAAUAGAAAAUCUUAUGGAAUCUGCUAAAAAGCUAAUAGAACCAAUAAGCGAGUUUAGCAUAGUUACAAGACACAACAUAUAAAAAUUAAUUAUAUUUCAAAAUACUAGCAAUGAACAAUUAAAUUUUCCUUUUAAAAUUUUCAACAACAUCAAGACAUGAACCACUGGGGGAUAAACCCCAUGAAACAUGGCAGAAAAAAAUUCAGGAA